rnacentral:lncRNA from 1 species
CAACAACAAUCUAUCGCUAGGCUAGAAGCACAAAUAGGAUAAUUAGCUGAGUCUACCAUGAGGAGAGAACUAGGUCAACUCCCAAGCCAACCAGUACCAAAUCUUAGGAACAACCCAUCCACUCAUCAACCAGCUGGACCUAGUCAUCAAUCCAAUAUCCCAUCUAAGAAUCCUCAAUUUGAAAAUACCAAAGCAAUUACUGAACUUAGAAGUGAUAGAAUUCUUAAGGACCCAUACCAAGAU